GACGAACGCUGGCGCGUUCCUAAUACAUUGAAGGAGAACGCACAGUUUAUACCGUAGCUUGCUACACCAUAGACUGUGAGUUGCGAACGGGUGAGUAACGCGUAGGUAACCUGCCUGGUAGCGGGGGAUAACUAUUGGAAACGAUAGCUAAUACCGUAUAAUAUUAAUUAUUGCAUUAUAAUUAAUUGAAAGGUGCAAUUGCACCACUACCAGCUGGACCUGCGUUGUAUUAGCUAGUAGGUGAGGUAACGGCUCACCUAGGCGACGAUACAUAGCCGACCUGAGAGGGUGAUCGGCCACACUGGGACUGAGACACGGCCCAGAAUCCUACGGGAGGCAGCAGUAGGGAAUCUUCGGCAAUGGACGAAAGUCUGACCGAGCAACGCCGCGUGAGUGAAGAAGGUUUUCGGAUCGUAAAGCUCUGUUGUAAGAGAAGAACGGGUGUGAGAGUGGAAAGUUCACACUGUGACGGUAUCUUACCAGAAAGGGACGGCUAACUACGUG
rnacentral:rRNA from 1 species